rnacentral:lncRNA from 1 species
UUUAAAACCCUAAUGCUGAUUGCAUGGAAAAGCUCAGUUUAAAGUUUAAAACUCUAAUGCUGGCUGAAAAGAAAAAAGUUCAGUUUAGGGUUUAAAACCCUAAUGCUGACUAAAAGGAAAAUUCAGUUUAGGGUUUAAAACCCUAAUGUUGAUUGCAUGGAAAAGCUCAGUUUAAAGUUUAAAACUCUAAUGCUGGCUGAAAAGGAAAAAGUUCAUUUUAGGGCUUAAAACCCUAAUGCUGACUAAAAGGAAAAUUCAGUUUAGGGUUUAAAACCCUAAUGCUGAUUGCAUGGAAAAGCUCAGUUUAAAGUUUAAAACUCUAAUGCUGGCUGAAAAGGAAAAAGUUCAGUUUAGGGUUUAAAACCCUAAUGCUGACUAAAAGGAAAAUUCAGUUUAGGGUUUAAAACCCUAAUGCUGAUUGCAGGGAAAUGCUCAGUUUAAAGUUUAAAACUCUAAUGCUGGCUGAAAAGGAAAAAGUUCAGUUUAGGGUUUAAAACCCUAAUGCUGACUAAAAGGAAAAUUCAGUUUAGGGUUUAAAACCCUAAUGCUGAUUGGAUGGAAAAGCUCAGUUUAAAGUUUAAAACUCUCUAAUGCUGGCUGAAAAGGAAAAAGUUCAGUUUAGGGUUUAAAACCCUAAUGCUGAUUAAAAGGAAAAUUCAGUUUGGGGUUUAAAACCCUAAUGCUGAUUGCAUGGAAAUGCUCAGUUUAAGUUUAAAACUCUAAUGCUGGCUGAAAGGAAAAGUUCAGUUUAGGGUUUAAAACCCUAAUGCUGACUAAAAGGAAAAUUCAGUUUAGGGUUUAAAACCCUAAUGCCGAUGGCAUGGAAAAGCUCAGUUUAGAGUUUAAAACUCUAAUGCUGGCUGAAAGGAAAAAGUUCAGUUUAGGGUUUAAAACCCUAAUGCUGACUAAAAGGAAAAUUCAGUUUAGGGUUUAAAACCCUAAUGCUGAUUGGCUGGGGAUAAAGCUCGAGAAUACUACACGAUCUAUUUUUAAGUUUUCUUGUUUUAAUAGAAGAUGAAAGGGAGUUUUGCGGGAACUUACCUUUUGAGUGAAUUCCUUAUUGCCAAAAUGUUUCUUGUACCCGUGUACCUUCUUCUUUGGGCGACACCUGCUUCUUGCACGGUUGUCUUGGAUUAAAACCUGUUUCAACUUAUCAGACAAAGAACAAUUGUUAGUUCGGAGAUGACGGUCGGUUCGGUGACCUUGAUCGUUCCCAAUUGCUUUGUUGCGUCUCUAUUUAUGUUGCGAAGUCCUGCCAUUGAUUUGAUUCGAAUGGCGAAACCUUUAGACUGCUCAGGCUUGUAUUUCCGGAUUCUGCGAUGACUUGCCUCGUAAGGCUCCUUUUUUUUUUGUGUCCCGUUUUGCUUGGAGGUUCUCAACGGGGAUUUUAUUGGAGGUAUUUUGUAGGAAUUUGUACAAAAGGGAAGCUCUGUGGGGAAUAUUUACAAAGUGGAUUCUUUGUGUGGAUUUUUGUACAAUGGGGCAUGCUGGGGAUUUAUUUCAAAGCGGGAUUUCUAGGAUUUGUUGGGGUAAGCUUGUUGGGGUAUAUUUACAAAAGGACUCGCUGGGAUGUGCUGGGGAGAUUCCAUUUUUUUUUUUUU